CCAGGCCUACGUGUUGAUGUUGUAGGCCAGGCCUACAUGAAAUUAGAUGAAUUUAAUUGAUAUUAUAAACUAUUUAUUUAACUAUUUAUAAAAUUGAAAUAAAUAUGAAUCUUACUAAUCUGUCAGUUACAGUAACAAAUCACACAAACUAAAGUGCAGAAAUAUAAAACAUAUGUGCCUCUACCAAUCUAAAAAUAUGUAGAUGACUCAAAGUCGUUGGCAUAAACAUGUACGGUAAUAUGUAUACAUGUGCGAAUUGACCACAUGUUUCGGGUAGUAGCGAAAAACACUGUUAUUCGCUCCAGCCUGCUAUAGCUUUAGCAUUCUGGCCAAAAUAUUUGCGGGAUGUCAUGCUGUACAGUUUCUUUACCAAAGCCUUAAACCCGGCCUCGUUCACCGUGUUGAGGGGCAUCAUAUCUUUCCCUAUAAACUCGACUUACUAAUCGCCUUAGUAAUUUUGCGUUUGUAUAUACUCUUGAUCAUUUCGGUCAGUGAUGGCUGCCGGGUGGUAUUCAGCCUUCUUGACAACCUGGUUGUAGGGUUCUUUUAUGUUUUUUUUUUUUAUAUAUAUAUUUCAACCUCUAUGUUAAAUAUGCAUUGAUCAUUAAUCUCGAUAGCGGUUGACGGUUAAAAGCCAAUUGUCAAACUCUAAUCAAUAAUUACCUCAAAAUACCUGGAAAGGCACAGAAUCCAAGUUGCUUGAAGUUCAGUGUGACGUUUUCAGUCAGAUGAUUUGGGGAGGCAUGUCAUCUUCUGGUGUUGGUCCACUGUUUUUUAUCAAGCCCAAAUUCAACGCCGCUGUCUGCCAGGACGUUUUAGAGGAUUUCGUGCUUCCUUCUACUGGCAAGCUUUAUGGAGAUGCUGAUUUCAUUUUCCAACAGGACUUGGCCCCUGCCCACACUGCCAAAAGUACCAAUACCCGGUUUAAUGACCAUAGGAUUACUGUGCUUGAUUGGUCAGCAAACUCGCCUGAUCUGAACCCCCUAGAAAAUGUAUAGGUUUUAUCAAGAGGAAGAUGAGACACGACGCCCAACAAUUGAGAUGAGCUGAAGGCUGCUAUCGAAGAAACCUGGGCUUCCAUAACAUGUCAGCAGGGCCAAAGGCUGAUCAACUCUUUACCACUCCCAUUGAUUAAGUAAUUCAUGCAAAAGGAGAAUAAGACCAUACUGAAGAUUUUCGGAACGAUUAUGCAUACCAUUCAGACACCUUGUGUUAGGGUUAUGCAAUGUGUUUUUUGAUGUAGCAUAAAAUAUUUGCAUAUGUCUGCCAUUUCUCUGUCCUUUACUACGAUCAUACAACCUUAAUACUAUUUCUAUUCUAGAAACUCGACUAAAGAACAUGGUCCAUAUGUGGUGGUCGCAAGCAAAAACAUUAAUGCAACACAAAAAGUGAAAUGU